rnacentral:rRNA from 1 species
CGGCAGCCCGAGUGGUGAUCACUAUUAUUGGGUCUAAAGGGUCCGUAGCCGGUUUGAUCAGUCUUUUGGGAAAUCUGACAGCUUAACUGUUAGGCUUCCAAAGGAUACUGUCAGACUUGGGACCGGGAGAGGUAAGAGGUACUACAGGGGUAGGAGUGAAAUCUUGUAAUCCUGGGGGGACCACCAGUGGCGAAGGCGUCUAGCUAGAACGGGUCUGACGGUGAGGGACGAAGCCCUGGGGCGCAAACCGGAUUAGAGACCCGAGUAGUCC